CGAAGAGCGGCGGACGACGGGACGUAUGGGGGGUCACGGCUUCUCUCUGUGUUGUUGUGCGUGUGUUGCAGCAUCCAAUUAAAUUGGCAGCAGUAGUAGCAGAAGCUCGCGAGUAUUCUGACCGAGAUGUGAAAAAUAUACAUAUAU
ensembl:ncRNA C29E6.11 ncRNA